rnacentral:lncRNA from 1 species
AUGGGGGACGCUGUUGUGGGGGUAUACUACAGGUCACCAGAUCAGGAUGAGGAGGUCGAUGAGGCCUUCUACAAGCAGCUGGUAAUAGCCUCACAAUCGCAAGUGCUGGUCCUCAUGGGGGACUUCAAUUACCCAGACACCUGUUGGGUAAGCAACUCGGCCAGACACGUGCAGUCUAAACGGUUCGUACAAUGCGUUGAAGACAAUUUUCUGACACCGGUGGUGGAUGAGCUGACGAGGCAGGGGGUGCUCCUGCACCUUGUCCUUACCAACAGGGAUGAUCUUGUUAGGGAUGUGAAGGUCGGGGACAGCUUGGGAUGCAGCGACUAUGAGAUGGUGGAGUUCAAGAUGGAACUUGGUGGAAGAAGUAAGGCUAAAAGCAGGAUUGCUUCCCUGGACUUUCGAAGAGCCAACUUCGACCUCUUCUGGGACCUGCUUGGGGGUAUCUCAUGGGCUUGGUUGCUAGAAGGCAAGGGUGCAUGUGAGAGCUGGGCUACAUUUAAAGAGCACUUCUUCCAUGCUCAGGAUUGGUGCAUCCAGAAGAAUAGGAAAUUGGGGAAGGGGAGCAGGAAACCUGCGUGGAUGAGCAAGGAGCUCAUCAAUAAGAUCAAAAGGAAGAGGAAGGUCUAUGAAAUGUGGAAAAAGGUCCUGUCCUCUUGGGAGGAGUACAGAAGUGUUGUCAGGGCCUGCAGGGAUGCGACAAGGAAGGCUAAAGCCCACCGAGAGAUGAGGCUUGCAAAAGAGAUAAAGGAUACUAAGAAGGGUUUUUUUAAGUAUGUAAACAGCAAGAGGAAGACUAGGGAUAAUGUGGGUCCCUUGCUGGUAAUGGGAGACGCUGAGAAGGCGGAGAUACUGAAUGCUUUCUUUGCUUCUGUCUUUGCUUCAAGGACACUCCCCCAGGACUCCUCGACCCUGGCAAUAGGACAAAGGGUCUGGGAAAUGGAGGGCUCCCCUCUGGUGGACGUGAGAGUGGUUCGGAAGCGUCUGAGUGAGCUCAAUGCACACAAAUCCAUGGAUCCCAAUGGGAUGCAUCUGCGUGUGCUAAGGGAGCUGGCAGAUGUGAUCGCCGAACCGCUCUCUAUCAUCUUUGAAGGUCCUGGAGAAUGGGUGAGGUGCCUGAAGACUGGAGGAUAG